GACGAACGCUGGCGGCGUGCUUAACACAUGCCAGUCGAACGGAAAGGCCCUUCGGGGUACUCGAGUGGCGAACGGGUGAGUAACACGUGGGUGAUCUGCCCUGCACUUUGGGAUAAGCCUGGGAAACUGGGUCUAAUACCGAAUAGGACCACGCGCUUCAUGGUGUGUGGUGGAAAGCUUUUGCGGUGUGGGAUGGGCCCGCGGCCUAUCAGCUUGUUGGUGGGGUAAUGGCCUACCAAGGCGACGACGGGUAGCCGGCCUGAGAGGGUGACCGGCCACACUGGGACUGAGAUACGGCCCAGACUCCUACGGGAGGCAGCAGUGGGGAAUAUUGCACAAUGGGCGCAAGCCUGAUGCAGCGACGCCGCGUGAGGGAUGACGGCCUUCGGGUUGUAAACCUCUUUCAAUAGGGACGAAGCGCAAGUGACGGUACCUAUAGAAAAAGCACCGGCCAACUACGUG
rnacentral:rRNA from 1 species